ensembl:lncRNA
CCUGAAGCCGGAUGGCACCCUCCGUUGUUGCAACGACUUCAUCCAUAACUUCUCCUCCUUAGCCUCUCCCCUGACAGACCUGACCAGGAAGGGGCAGCCGGAGAAAACUUCCUCGGGACCGACCGAAGACGAGGCAUUCCGGCGAGUGAAGGUGGCCCUCACCUCCGAGCCGGUCCUACGAGCCCUGGACUUGAACCACCUCUUUCUGUUGCAGACAGAUGCCUCCAACACCUGGUUGGGAGCCGUCCUCUCCCAGGUACAGGAUGGUGAGGAACACCCGGUAAUCUACAUCAGCCGAAAGCUGUCCCCCGCGGAGCAACGGUACGCCACCAUCGAAAGGGAAGCGUUGGCCAUCAAGUGGGCAGUCCUGGAUCUCAGGUACUAUCUUUUGGGCCGAAAGUUUACGCUUGUCACUGACCAUGCUCCCUUGCAGUGGAUGGCCCGGACCAAGGACACAAAUGCAAGGGUGACUCGCUGGUUCCUGGCGCUCCAGGACUUCCACUUCAUGGUGCGACAUCAGGCGGGGACGGCCAACGAGGAUGGGCUCUCACGAAUUUGGGCAGCUUUCGCAGGUCUGUCAGGGUUCACCCCCCUCCCAACCCCCACCUCCCCGUUGUCCCGCAGGACCAAGACAACGCUUGGGGGCGGGGAGUGUGGCGCGUGUCCCGAGCACUCAUCAGCGUCGCCCUGGAAAUGAAGGAGGAACACCUGUGCACACUCAGGACGGGCUGGCCGGCCACAGCUGAAGCUCAUCAGAGCCCUGCUACAAAAGCCGCUGCAUGACACACACUGGUGAGAUGUCUCCUGAAGACUCCACGCUAAUGCCUACUUUGUACUUGAGCUCGUGAGCUCGACAUGGACACCCAGCACAUGAGGACACGGAGGAAAGACUGAGGUGGAUCACGGAGCACCAAUGCACGUCACCACACACAUCGGCACCUCACCUGUCAAUAAACUCACCCUCCGGGGCAUUUAGUGAAAUCCUCUUGUUGUGUGAUUCCUCACCCCGUUACU